UACGAAGGGGGCAAGCGUUGUUCGGAAUUACUGGGCGUAAAGGGCGCGUAGGCGGCUUAUCAAGUCAGGCGUGAAAUUCCCGGGCUCAACCUGGGGGCUGCGCUUGAUACUGAUUGGCUUGAAUGCGGGAGAGGAUAGUGGAAUUCCCAGUGUAGAGGUGAAAAUUCGUAGAUAUUGGGAAGAAUCACCGGUGGCGAAGGCGGCUAUCUGGCCCGUAAUUGACGCUGAGGCGCGAAACGUGGGGGACGACAGG
rnacentral:rRNA from 1 species